AGUUCCCAUUGUGGCUCAGCAGGUUAAGAAUCUGGCUAGUAUCCAUGAGGAUGUGGGUUCAAUCCCAGGCCUCGUUCAGUAGGUUAAAGGAUCUGGCAUUGUCGUGAGCUAUGGCGUGGAUCAUGGGUGCAGCUUGGAUUUGGCAUCACUAUGACUGUGGUGUAGGCCGGUGGCUAUGGUCCUGAUUUGCCCCCUAGUCUAGGAACCUCCACAUGCUGUGGGUGUGGUCCUAAAAGGACAGAAAAAAAAAGCCUUCUUUAGGACCUGUCCAUUCAAAUGUUCAUUAAACAACUAUUAUUGAUUAUUUUCUAUAUAUCAAAUAUUGCUUAGCUGCUGAGGAAUACAGUAGUGAACAAAAGAAAAUCUCUCAUCUCAUGGCACUUUUAUUCCAGUGGGGAUUCCAGAAAAUAUGUCAGUAAAUAUAUUCAUUCCCACACAAUUUUUACUACAUUGUAUACUUCAUACUGAAAACAAAAACAAACAAACAAAAAGCUACCUAAAACUAAUUGGUUUGGAUUGUGGCUUGGAAGCAAGCUAUUGUUAAGUUCUUAUAGUUGAAUGGAAAGGAAAAGAAACAAAAGACUACAAUGACAUUUGGUGUCAACCACACACAUCAAUUCACAAAUAUACCUACUUAAGUAAUAGACAACCAAAAGAGGUUUCACUUGUGGCAGAAGUAAACAAGACAUGAGCAAGCUUCUAUCUAGUGUCCUUUAUUGGUAUAAAAAUAGUCUUAAAUCCCUGUCUUCAACCACUAGAGUUACAAGUUAAAGACCCCAAAAGGAAGGAUUCACCAAAAUAAGUACAACAUGAAUAUAGUUAAUGACACCUGAGAAACCUAACCUCAGCAGUUGGUCCACUGAUGUAUAAGCAUAGGUGAGAAUGCUCCUGAGUGAUGUGGUGCAGUAAACCCAGAGCUAAAGGCAGCUUCUAUAAAGAAGCUUCAUUCAUAUCCACUUAGGACUGUCCCCAAACUGCAGAAUCUCCUGAAAACCUGGAGAAAAAGUUCAAGUAAGUAUACUAUUUUUCUUUUGGAUAAGGUAGUAAACUGACUCCAGACAGUAGCAUCAGUCCAUUAUUGGACCUCGUUGCUAGAAAUAUUAUUGCUUGUUUCUUAAAAAAAAAAAAAAGUGAGAGAGAGAAAGAAAGAAAUGGAAGUAUGAGGAUUUCUCCAGACACUAAGCCAGACAUGUUUCCUUGCUGAAGUUUGGGAUGAUAGCAACAGCUUCUUGGUUUUUUAUUACAUCUUUGACUAACUAUGCUGUCUAUAGCUUUGUUCAUUGAAUCUAAUAUCACACACAGGUUAUGGGUCCCUAAAGUCAUAAAUUCAAAUUCAUUUUCUUAGUGGGGUUGCUUAUCACUUAGAAUAGUGCUUUCAUUUUGGAACUCCUAGGACUGCUGACUUAAUCUGGAACUCAGAGAUAACUGUGCAGGUGAAACCC
rnacentral:lncRNA from 1 species